AGUCUACCAGACCAGGUGAGACUCCGCCCCGGUGACACCCUCCGUCUCCAGUGCCUCGCCCACGGCUCUCACCCAAUCACAUUCCGUUGGACACGGGUGGGCCGGGCCGGCAUGCCCGCAGGGGCGGAGACCAUUAAGGAUGGCCAGCUGCUGAUUGGCCAGGUGAAGUUGAAUGACAGCGGGACCUACAAAUGCGUGGCGACCAAUCACGUUGGUUCCAGCGAGGCUCUGGCGAAGGUCACAGUGAAAGCCUAAGCCAUCUCAUCUCCCCUGCGGCUCUCGUCAUACGUCUAAUGUUGAUGUCACGAACCCCACAACCCCCCCAAGAUAUGCAUAUAUAGUGGGGAAAAAAAUGUUUAUGAAAUAAAUGUUGAUAAAAUCAAUAAUGGUAAA